rnacentral:other from 1 species
GAAUUCCUGAGGUAUUCGACAACCCUUGUAUUUGAACCUACAGUAAUUUGACGGGAUCUAGACGUAUGAAUGCAGAUGUCAGGCCGUACUUGACGGAAAACAGAAACAUUCAUCUCAGAACCCACCUGGCUAACGCUAGGCGUCAAAAAAAAGGGCCGGUAUUUCGGGAAUUAU